UCUUGAAGAUAAAAGGUGAGCCAGUACAGGAUGGACCCGCGUCUGAUUAGCGAGUUGGUAAGGUAACGGCUUACCAAGGCGACGAUCAGUAGCCGACCGGAGAGGGUGAUCGGCCACAUUGGAACUGAGACACGGUCCAAACUCCUACGGGAGGCAGCAGGGGGGAAUAUUGCACAAUGGGCGAAAGCCGGAUGCAGCAACGCCGCGUGAGUGAUGAAGGCCUUCG
rnacentral:rRNA from 1 species